rnacentral:rRNA from 1 species
CACGCCGUAAACGAUGAAUACUAGGUGUGGGGGUUGUCAUGACCUCCGUGCCGCCGCUAACGCAUUAAGUAUUCCGCCUGGGGAGUACGGUCGCAAGAUUAAAACUCAAAGGAAUUGACGGGGGCCCGCACAAGCAGCGGAGCAUGUGGUUUAAUUCGAAGCAACGCGAAGAACCUUACCUAGACUUGACAUCUCCUGAAUUACUCUGUAAUGGAGGAAGUCGCUUCGGCGACAGGAAGACAGGUGG